GGGACACAUAUAAUUUAGCCCUGGGAACUUUAAAAAAAUUCCUGACAAUUAAUAAAUAGAAGAGUCUUUUGUGUGAUUUUAAAGUCACCGGAGGGCAGACAUAAAUUGUCAACUUACCUAAAAGAGAAACAUUCGCCUUUUCUAGAGAGGCUCACAUCGGCUUCCAGGGAGUGCAUCAUCCAUAAUUUAGCAUAACUGCUUUGAAAAUAAGUCUAUAAUCUUUAAAUAACUCUGUGGGUCUCUUGCCUGGAGUCUUCCUUUCAACUUCUUUCAUAGAAGAAUUUAUAAUCAAAUAAUAACACUGAUUUUAAAACAAGCAACCAUACAUCCAUCACUCAAGAACUCACUUAAGGUUUGGGGGGAGCCGUUUCAAAACAAAGCAGCAACAACAGCAAAACUCACCAUGGUAAAACUUUAACAGAGGAGAGCACCUAAGGACUCGGUGACUCAGUGUUAAAGGGAUGGGAAGUCAGGUCAUUUCCGAUGAUUGUGGCCUUUUACUUCCGGUUUCUCAGGCUCAAAUGAGAAAGGAGUGAGUCAGAAGGUGGGCAUGAUAACCCUGUAAAUCUCUGUGGCAGGGUGCCCUACUGUGUCUCAAGCCAUUCAGACGGGAGCUGUUUGUAGAUGGUGACUCCUUCAGAAAUAUUGGGAGCUGGCACAGUCAUGAAUUCAAAGCUGAGCCCUCAACUCUCCACAAUUGACCUAAGACUUAUGAUCGUCCAUUCUCUACUAUCCCUGCCCUCAAAAGAAGAUCUACAAUAUGAAUGCUGGACCAAUGCUCAGUCCAUAGAGAAUCUUCCACUGGGCCCAGAGACAUCUUCCAUUCAGAAGCUCAACCAGGGCUGAGGUUAAUGAAGCCAGUCCACUCGCCCCCCAGGUGAGCAACAAAAGUAGAGGCAGUAAUACAUCCUAGGAGCGCUCUGUGAAGCAUCAGGCCUCAUACUGAAAUACUCUGUAUUUUUUUUCUUGGAGAAAAGCCUGUUUUUCAGCGAUAGUUCUGAUUGAUAACAACAAUAAAGCUAGAAGCAACUAAUGGGUAUAAAAUACCUACAAAUGUGCCAGGUAUUGUGCUACAUGGUUUUACUCAAAUGAUCUAAUUUAAUCUCGAGUCAGGUGCUACUACUUACCUGCAUGUCAUAGGUGAAGAAAUACAAGGCAAUGAUUUUGAAACAAUCUUCCUUAGAGCUCCCCCGUGGGGAAAGGCAGGAAAGUGAGGGCCAGACCCCAGAUCCCCACUCCUAAUUUAAGCAGAGCAGUUAUGCUUUUAUCUAUUUUGCUUAUCAGGCAUUAAUGGAAACUUGUUUUAAAAAAGAGAUCCAUGGUGUAAUGGUUAGUUUUAUGUGUCAGUUUGGCUAGGCAAUAAUAGGCAGUUAUUUAAUCAAACACUAAUCUAGGUGGUGUUGGGAAGAGAGCUUGUAGAUGUGAUUCACAUGUACAGCAGCUGGCAUGGUGGCAUGCCUGUAGUUCCAGCUACUCAGGAAACUGAGGUAGGAGGAUCGCCUGAGCCAGGAGUUUCAGCCCAGCCUGGGUAAUGUAGUGAGACCCCUGUCUCCAAAAAAAUAAAAAUAAUCAUUAUUUUUAAAAAUCACAACCAGUAAAGGCCAGGCGCGGUGGUUCAUGCCUGUAAUCCCAGCACUUUGGGAGGCCGAGGCGGGUGGAUCACGAGGUCAGGAGAUCGAGACCAUCCUGACUAACACGUGAAACCCCAUCUCUACUAAAAAUACAAAAAUUUAGCUGGGCGUGGUGGCGGGCUCCUGUAGUCCCAGCUACUCAGGAGGCUGAGGCAGGAGAGUGGCAUGAACCCGGGAGGCGGAGCUUGCAGUGAGCCGAGAUCGCGCCACUGUACUCCAUCCUGGGCAACAGAGCGAGACAACGUCUCAAAAAAAAAAAAAAAGAAAGAAAGAAAAAUCACAACCAGUAGAUUUUAGUAAAGGAGAUUAUUCUUCAAAAUGUGGGUAUUUUAGUAUCAUCCAAUCAGUUGAAAGGCCUUAUGAGCAAAAACUGAUUUCCAGAGAGGAGGAAAUUCUGUCUUAAGACUGCAACAUUGGUUAGGUGCCGUGGUUUAUGCCUGUAAUCUCAGCAUUUUGGGAGGCAGAGGCGGG
ensembl:lncRNA